rfam:Globodera pallida, Lindley, WGS project CBXT01000000 data, contig: pathogens_Gpal_scaffold_874_contig_5
GCAUAGUUGGCCGAGUGGUUAAGGCGUUGGACUCCUAAUCCAAAGGGUUUACCCCGCGGGGGUUCGAAUCCCUCACUAUGCG